UACGUGGGCAGCAAGCGUUGUUCGGAAUUACUGGGCGUAAAGAGUGUGUAGGCGGUGCUGUAAGUCUGGUGUGAAAUCUCCCGGCUCAACUGGGAGGGUGCGCCGGAAACUGCAGUGCUAGAGGGUGGGAGAGGAAAGCGGAAUUCCUGGUGUAGCGGUGAAAUGCGUAGAUAUCAGGAGGAACACCUGCGGUGUAGACAGCUUUCUGGACCACUUCUGACGCUGAGACACGAAAGCGUGGGUAGCAAACAGG
rnacentral:rRNA from 1 species